rnacentral:rRNA from 2 species
AAAUUGAAGAGUUUGAUCAUGGCUCAGAUUGAACGCUGGCGGCAGGCCUAACACAUGCAAGUCGAACGGUAACAGGAAGCAGCUUGCUGCUUUGCUGACGAGUGGCGGACGGGUGAGUAAUGUCUGGGAAACUGCCUGAUGGAGGGGGAUAACUACUGGAAACGGUGGCUAAUACCGCAUAACGUCGCAAGACCAAAGAGGGGGACCUUCGGGCCUCUUGCCAUCAGAUGUGCCCAGAUGGGAUUAGCUUGUUGGUGAGGUAACGGCUCACCAAGGCGACGAUCCCUAGCUGGUCUGAGAGGAUGACCAGCCACACUGGAACUGAGACACGGUCCAGACUCCUACGGGAGGCAGCAGUGGGGAAUAUUGCACAAUGGGCGCAAGCCUGAUGCAGCCAUGCCGCGUGUAUGAAGAAGGCCUUCGGGUUGUAAAGUACUUUCAGCGGGGAGGAAGGUGUUGCGGUUAAUAACCGCAGCAAUUGACGUUACCCGCAGAAGA